UGGGGAAUAUUGCACAAUGGGCGAAAGCCUGAUGCAGCAACGCCGCGUGAGUGAUGAAGGCCUUCGGGUUGUAAAGCUCUGUCUUCUGGGACGAUAAUGACGGUACCAGAGGAGGAAGCCACGGCUAACUACGUGCCAGCAGCCGCGGUAAUACGUAGGUGGCAAGCGUUGUCCGGAUUUACUGGGCGUAAAGGAUGCGUAGGCGGAUACUUAAGUCAGAUGUGAAAAUCCCGGGCUUAACUUGGGAACUGCAUUUGAAACUGGGUAUCUAGAGUGCGGGAGAGGAAGGUGGAAUUCCUAGUGUAGCGGUGAAAUGCGUAGAGAUUAGGAAGAACACCAGUGGCGAAGACGACUUUCUGGACCGUAACUGACGCUGAGGCAUGAAAGCGUGGGGAGCAAACA
rnacentral:rRNA from 1 species